AAAUAUAGAAUGAUUUACAGACUAAAAUCAGUGCUUUACUGAACAAAUUGACACAAAAAGCAAUUCAUCAUUUUGAGUUUAAAAUUAGAAUCAGAUGUUUUUAAACACACAAGUGUGUGCUGCAUCCAUACAGUUAUUACAGAUGAACUGUGCAGCUGUAUAACUGUGUUAUUACAGGUAAAAUGUGCAGCUGUAGCAGCACAGGAACGGAGGGCUCUUCAUCAGCAAUAUAACACAGGGCUUCUGCAGGCAGAGCGAUCCGUGGUGAGGAAGAGGAUGGCUGUGGUAGUGUUCAAUCAGCACCGACAGAGAGGGGAAGGUCACUUCACUGUCCAGAAAAAGGCAGUCAUUCUGUCCAGACAGAAGAUGCUUUAAUGACACAAUCACUGAGUAUUUUCCUUCAUGUAUUCAGCAGCAGAUGCUUCUUACCUCUUCAAACAGCCGGUAGUUUCUGGCUUUGUCUAUGCUGACGUCCCACACGACCAGCACCUGGAUGACGUGUAUCAACACAUGUUCUUUAGUUUGCUGGAAUUUUACCCUUUUCUCUAAUAGCAAACUAAAUCAUGAAAUCACUUUUUGAGCGGCUUAAGGUUUUACCUUGGAGGUUUUGGUCCCAGAGUUUCUGAUGCCGUACAGUCCGUCCUCCGGGGGAAAACCGUUGUCUUUGAACAACCUACAGGUUCAAACAUCACCACUGGUUACGGGUUUACAAUGGAACAGAUCAGCAGAUAGAGCAGCUCUGUGUCUGAGGAAGGAGAAGUGUGUGCAACGCUUGGUGGAUUUAAAACGUAUGCACAGUGACCGUCUCUACGCGCCUAAUUUUUGUGGUAUUUGAAUUCACCUGGGAAUGUGCGACUCUUUUCUGCCGUUAUAGUGAUCAAUCUCCCUCCGCAGGUAGCGCAUCCACUUCUGUAACACAACAGAAAGAAGUUACAAGUUACACCGUGGGAUUCAUGUAUUUUCUGUAAUCCAAACCCAAAUGAAAUCAACCUAUACAUGCGAGUGUUGAGCCAUUCUCACCUUUCUCUCCUUCUCACUGGCUGCAGAGAAGAACCACGUCCUGUGCUUCUUGCUGAAGUGAACGAUCUUAAAAGGGAAGACAUUACUGGACGUCGUCUCCUCUGCAGCUCUCAUCACUCUGUGAAGGAGGACAAGCGUAAGAGGCCGACAUGUGUUUGGCACGAGUUACAGUUUAGACCUCUCAUCCACUGACCUGUUGUAGCCACUGAGAGAGAAGGCCCCCUGCGGUGAAGGAGACGUACUGCUCUUAAAGUAGUACACACAUCCCUUGUGAAUGAUGAUGUACCUCAGUGGCCCUGAAAGAAAAGCAGCAGCUGACACAUCGAUCCGAUUGAACCUGACGCUGCUGUACAUUAUGCCAACACGUUUCAUGCGGACUCACAUUUCAUGAGGCUGAACUGGCUGCCUCCUUUCUUGUGGAGGUAACCUGAAGAGGAAACUCCCCCCGGCAUGGUGAGGAGGUUCUGAGCUCCGAUGGCUCGCAUCGGCACCGGCCAGCACGCCUCGGUGGACGACAUGGUUCUGGAGGAGAGCACGGGGAUGUGAAUAUACUGGUGGUGAUUAGGAGGGGGAGAACAACACAACAACACAUUUUAUAGUUGCAAAAUAAUCGGAAAAGAGACGGCAAAGACCAAAAAGAACAUGGAAGUAAAUUCCCUCAUUCACUAACUACAACUUUGCUCACAUCAAUUCAAACAACAACUGAUCUAAUUCAUCACAAGACAUGUGACCCCUGAAAUGUACUGUACUAACGAUACAUUCACUGCCACAGAUAAAGUAACGCUGUUUUUUUCUCACAACUACAGCACAUGUAAGAGUCGAUCUCCUUCUCUGGCCGUUCUUGAGGUUCUGCCUACUGUACCUCCUGCUGAGCUGGUUGCUGCUGCUGCUGCUUCCCCUCAGCAGGCUCAGUGUGGAGCCCAGCACCGUGGACGCCAACGUCGGCACCAGAUCCAUUCAAAGUUGAACGCCCAGCACGGCUGAGCAGACUGAACGUCCCGGGCCUCUGGCUUUCUCUCUGCCUCUGUUGAUUUCUAUCUGUCUCACUCUCCCUCGCCCAUAAACACUCAAAGUGAGCUUGUGCACUUGUGUGUUCGCAGAUGUCAACGGAAUACAUACAAACAAACACGCAAUCAGUUCAGACAGGAAACAGAUAAGCUAAGAUGAUUCAGCUGGAGUUCAUGGUUUUAUGUAAUAGGUGUGUGUGUGUGUGUGUGUGUGUGUGUGUGUGUGUGUGUGUGUGUGUGUGUGUGUGUGUGUGUGUGUGUGUGUGUGUGUGUGUGUGUAAACAUCCCAAAUGUCCUCCCGUGGAACUUCUAGCUUAUCUGUAGCAUCUACUGGUCCCAGAGAAGCUUCAGUGUGUGUAGAAGUCUUUUUAUGUUUGCCUAAAUGGAAUGUGGUCAAAAUGGUCACAGAGGACAUUUUGUGCGACUUUGUGCUCAAGGAGAUUUUAAGAGUUUAGGCCGGACUUUAGGUUUGGGUUACACUCUUUGUUUUCACAAAACAGUAAAAGUCCAGAAAAGAACUUUGAAUCACAGUUCUAAAAACAGGCUAACUGUUUAGACCUCUGAUCCUUUGUACUGUAGGCCAUGUCAGGCCAGCUUUUAUUUAAAGUGUGUUGAACUCUCUCCUAAACAUCAGUGACAGAAAUACUCCCUUAAAAACUAAUUUGGCCUGUGCCCGGUCUGAAUGGUCUGUCUUUGCUUUUGUCAGCUACAGUAAGCAGAGGCCAAACUAGAAAAGGCAUUUCUAAGGAAAGUAAACGGUGAAUGCUUUAAUGCUCAAUUUAACAAUUUACAUCUAAAACACAGCUGAAAGUGUAGAAGCAGAGCAGAAAAAGCAGAUGCAGAUAAACUGCUCCCUAAAGCUCAUCCGUGUCUGAGUGAGACUGCUCCUUUACCGAUUUCUGUCGUGUUCGUCAAUACGACAGAUUUCCUGCAGUCGUCACACACAUACAACUAAAACACAUGACGUAACUUUGCUUUUUCAGGUUUUGUAGAGGACGCGACCAUCUGGAUCCAGAACAGACACAGAAGGAAUCAUUUACACACCAACAAUGCUGCUACUUUCUCAGCUGCGUCAUUUGAAGUCAGUCUCUGUUUCACUCGACAUUUCAGCUUCUUUCAUCUUUCACUCAAAAAAAAUAAAUGUGAAAUUAAAAAGAUUUAACUUGCAGUACUGAGCAAUGCUUUAAUAUAAUCAACACACAGCAACAGGCAGGACAAAUGUUCAGCUUGAUACUGUCUACAGCUCUGACUUAUUCAUCAUUAUUUGUCAUUGUUUAGUAUCCACAAAGAAUCCAAUGCAGCAACUGGGCUAAAACAUAUUCAGCCAAUGAUGAGAUCCAAGCAAGAACCGCUGCACCGGACUUACAGGAAGAAACAGAAGACAGCAGAGUAAGAAAACAGAAAGUGAAAGUGCUUGAGCUGUUGGACGGAAAACCCCAAACAGAUCACAUUCAGAGCCGUUUUCCUGGUAAAUGUCAUCAUUGCCACCAUGACAUAGACAGGGGAAUACAGCUUUGAUCCUUAGCUCAUCAGUGAAGUCUUGCUUCAGACACAGUUCUUGAUGACACAAGUGUAAAAUGUCAUAAUAUUCGAGUCUGAGCCUCUAUCUCAGGUCUGUGAGCCACAACUGUUAGCAAACACUUCAUACUUGUUCUGAGAGGCCUUAGUCACAAAAAAAGGUUUGACCUCCACAUGGAUGUGAAAACACUAAAAUGACAGAUAAUAAUAAACACUUCCACAUCCUGA